UCCAACCACGGAAAUUCCUCACCCUCUCUUGCAGUUCCCCCGAGGGCCCCAAGAAGAGCUUUUCCAAAUACUACGGGCCCGACCCUUAAUUGCGGGCCGCUACAUUGACUGAGAUGCCGUAGAAUAAGUUCAUAUGGCUGAUGUGAUUUGGGCCCUCCUAAUGACCGACUCUUAGGAGCUGUUCUUUGGGAUUAUUGAGCUGACGUAUCUCGAGCUCACGAUGGAACUAUGCUCAACGUUCCAUCUUUAGACCGUAAUGACAAAUUACGAUGAUCCCGG
rnacentral:lncRNA from 1 species